rnacentral:rRNA from 1 species
CAGUCGCGUUCUCUGGGAUUCAGCCUUGCUUCUUGCUUGGUGCAUUUCCUAGUCUACGGGCCAGCAUGAAUCUUGAGCGGUGGAAAAGGGUUUGGGGAAUGUGGCACCUCCGGGUGUGUUAUAGCCCCUUGCUGUAUACACUGGUUGGGAUUGAGGUUUCAGUGCACGCCGCAAGGCCGGGUUUUUAACCACGUACGUGCCUAGGAUGUUGGCAUAAUGGCUUUAAGCGACCCGUCUUGAAACACGGACCAAGGAGUCUAACAUAUAUGCGAGUGU